rnacentral:lncRNA from 1 species
GAAGGAGCUCGCUUUUCCCUGGGCUACAUCAGUGAAUCCAAUUUCUAUCGAAGAGAGACUAGCAUUUUAAAAACCACCGUGUGUGGAGCUUCGAGUCCUUUUCUUCUUUCGGUCUGUUACAUUUCCCAGAAUGGUUCCCAGCGCUGGAGAUAAUUCCUUUUCGGAGAACCUACAUUUCUCACCUGCUGAUUGCAAUUAGCCACUGCCAGCUGGGGCCUGGUGUGCAGCUGAAAAGCUAACAAGAAGUGGAGACCACGCGGAACCCAGACAGGGCAG